GUCCUACGGGAGGCAGCAGUGAGGAAUAUUGGUCAAUGGGCGAGAGCCUGAACCAGCCAAGUCGCGUGAAGGAUGACGGCCCUACGGGUUGUAAACUUCUUUUGUCAGGGAGCAAUUGAGUCCACGUGUGGUCUUAGCGAGAGUACCUGAAGAAAAAGCAUCGGCUAACUCCGUGCCAGCAGCCGCGGUAAUACGGAGGAUGCGAGCGUUAUCCGGAUUUAUUGGGUUUAAAGGGUGCGCAGGCGGAAGAUCAAGUCAGCGGUAAAAUUGAGAGGCUCAACCUCUUCGAGCCGUUGAAACUGGUU
rnacentral:rRNA from 1 species